rnacentral:rRNA from 1 species
GAUGAACGCUGGCGGCGUGCUUAACACAUGCAAGUCGAACGAAGCAUUUAGAACAGAUUACUUCGGUUUGAAGUUCUUUAUGACUGAGUGGCGGACGGGUGAGUAACGCGUGGGUAACCUGCCUUGUACUGGGGGAUAGCAGCUGGAAACGGCUGGUAAUACCGCAUAAGCGCACAAUGUUGCAUGACAUGGUGUGAAAAACUCCGGUGGUAUAAGGUGGACCCGCGUCUGAUUAGCUAGUUGGUGAGAUAACAGCCCACCAAGGCGACGAUCAGUAGCCGACCUGAGAGGGUGACCGGCCACAUUGGGACUGAGACACGGCCCAGACUCCUACGGGAGGCAGCAGUGGGGAAUAUUGCACAAUGGAGGAAAAUCUGAUGCAGCGACGCCGCGUGAGUGAAGAAGUAAUUCGUUAUGUAAAGCUCUAUCAGCAGGGAAGAUAGUGACGGUACCUGACUAAGAAGCUCCGGCUAAAUACGUG